AGAAUUUCUCAUUGUUAGUUUAUUAUUUUUUGAAAUAUAAAGAUAAAACACAAAUUUAACAUAAUCAUAAACUCCUCAAAUCUCAGGAUUGUAAGACCUUAAGUAUACCAUUUAUAAUUGAGAUCAUAUAAUCUCUUUCUCCUUCAGAGGAAAACCCUGAAGAACUAUACAAGUUUCUGAGAAUAAAACCCUAAACACUUUCUUAUCUAUACUUUUUUAGCCUUUCUUAUAUAGACUAUUUCUUUCUUGCUUGAAGUGAUACUCACAUUCAGUCAUUAAAAUUGGAAUCCCAAUGGAAAGAAAAGAUUGAAAAUUUGGGGUCUAUUUUAAAAAAAAAUACAAAAACAGUGUGUCAAGAAACACCGUAAACAAAGUCAUAAACAACACAUUCAUAAAGUUAAGGGAUAUAGAACUGGUGGGAAGAUUAACCAAUACAUUUACAUAUCAGGAGAAAAUACAAACCAUCUUGAAAAUAAUAAAAAGUGUGCAAUGACACUCAAAAUAGAAAUCUGAACUAAAAAUGUCAUUUAAAUACUAUUUUCUUCCAUCAGAUUGGCAGAAAUCCAAGUCUUGCUAAUAUAUUCUGUGUGUGUGUCCCCAAUGGCAGUGGGGACCUGGAAUGCCCACAUUUUCCUGGUAGGAGUAGAGUUUUGUAUAAUCUUCCAAUUUGGCAAUUUGGUUCUAUCUAUCAGUAUUACAAAGCCCCUACCGACUGAUUAAUAAUCCCACUUCUAGGAAUUAAUCCUACAUAUAUAUUUUCACGUGUGAGAAAUUAUGUUUAAAGUUAUUAACUGCUGCACCG
rnacentral:lncRNA from 1 species